rnacentral:misc_RNA from 1 species
AACGCACGAGACCUGCGGACCUGCGGAGGGAUCAUUAUCAAUUUACAGCGGACUUCGGUCCUGUCUGCACCCUUGUCUUUUGCGUACUAUAUGUUUCCUCGGUGGGCUUGCCUGCCGAUAGGACACUUAUAAACUCUUUUGUAAUUGCAAUCAGCGUCAGAAAACUAUAAUAGUUACAACUUUCAACAACGGAUCUCU